rnacentral:rRNA from 1 species
UACGUAGGUGACCAGCGUUGUCCGGAUUUACUGGGCGUAAAGAGCGCGCAGGCGGUCGUUCAAGUCGAGUGUGAAAGCCCCCGGCUCAACUGGGGAGGGUCACUCGAUACUGAUCGACUUGAAGGCAGGAGAGGGAAGCGGAAUUCUCGGUGUAGAGGUGAAAUUCGUAGAUAUCGAGAGGAACACCGGUGGCGAAGGCGGCCUUCUGGACAGUGACUGACGCUGAGACGCGAAAGCGUGGGGAGCAAACAGG